GCAAACUUGGUCAUUUAGAGGAAGUAAAAGUCAUAACAAGGUUUCCGUAGGUGAACCUGCGGAAGGAUCAUUACCGAGUGCGGGUCCCCCCUUUCCGGGGGAACGUGGCCCAACCUCCCACCCGUGAUUACCGUACCCUUUGUUGCUUCGGCGUGGUUCCGCCCUCCCCUCCGGGGGAUGACGGGUCGACCCGCCGGAGACCGCCCUUGGAACGCUGUCAUCUAAAAGGAGCUUUGCAGUCUGAGUUGGCAAAUGAAAUCUAUUAAAACUUUCAACAACGGAUCUCUUGGUUCCGGCAUCGAUGAAGAACGCAGC
rnacentral:misc_RNA from 1 species